rnacentral:rRNA from 1 species
ACAGCAGUAGCCACGGGAAAACGUAGGUCCCGAGCGUUAAUCGGAAUUACUGGGCGUAAAGCGUGCGCAGGCGGUUUUGUAAGACAGAGGUGAAAUCCCCGGGCUCAACCUGGGAACUGCCUUUGCGACUGCAAGGCUGGAGUGCGGCAGAGGGGGAUGGAAUUCCGCGUGUAGCAGUGAAAUGCGUAGAUAUGCGGAGGAACACCGAUGGCGAAGGCAAUCCCCUGGGCCUGCACUGACGCUCAUGCACGAAAGCGUGGGGAGCAAACAGGAUUAGAUACCCCGGUAGUCCCUGUCUCUUAUAC